rnacentral:rRNA from 1 species
CGGAGAGUUUGAUCCUGGCUCAGGACGAACGCUGGCGGCAUGCCUAAUACAUGCAAGUCGAACGAGCUUCCGUUGAAUGACGUGCUUGCACUGAUUUCAACAAUGAAGCGAGUGGCGAACUGGUGAGUAACACGUGGGGAAUCUGCCCAGAAGCAGGGGAUAACACUUGGAAACAGGUGCUAAUACCGUAUAACAACAAAAUCCGCAUGGAUUUUGUUUGAAAGGUGGCUUCGGCUAUCACUUCUGGAUGAUCCCGCGGCGUAUUAGUUAGUUGGUGAGGUAAAGGCCCACCAAGACGAUGAUACGUAGCCGACCUGAGAGGGUAAUCGGCCACAUUGGGACUGAGACACGGCCCAAACUCCUACGGGAGGCAGCAGUAGGGAAUCUUCCACAAUGGACGAAAGUCUGAUGGAGCAACGCCGCGUGAGUGAAGAAGGGUUUCGGCUCGUAAAACUCUGUUGUUAAAGAAGAACAUAUCUGAGAGUAACUGUUCAGGUAUUGACGGUAUUUAACCAGAAAGCCACGGCUAACUACGUGCCAGCAGCCGCGGUAAUACGUAGGUGGCAAGCGUUGUCCGGAUUUAUUGGGCGUAAAGCGAGCGCAGGCGGUUUUUUAAGUCUGAUGUGAAAGCCUUCGGCUCAACCGAAGAAGUGCAUCGGAAACUGGGAAACUUGAGUGCAGAAGAGGACAGUGGAACUCCAUGUGUAGCGGUGAAAUGCGUAGAUAUAUGGAAGGACACCAGUGGCGAAGGCGGCUUUCUGGACUGUAACUGACGUUGAGGCUCGAAAGUGUGGGUAGCAAACAGGAUUAGAUACCCUGGUAGUCCACACCGUAAACGAUGAGUGCUAGGUGUUUG